UACGGAGGGGGCGAGCGUUGUUCGGAAUUACUGGGCGUAAAGCGCGCGCAGGCGGCCCGCGAGGUGUCACGUGAAAGCCCCGGGCUCAACCCGGGAGGGUCGUGGCAAACCGGCGGGCUUGAGGCCGGUAGAGGUGGGUGGAACUCCUGGUGGAGUGGUGAAAUGCGUAGAGAUCAGGAAGAACACCCGUGGCGAAGGCGGCCCACUGGGCCGGUACUGACGCUGAGGCGCGAAGGCGUGGGGAGCGAACGGG
rnacentral:rRNA from 1 species